GAGAUCGGGAUAACACCUGGAAACAGAUGCUAAUACCGGAUAACAACAGAUGAUGCCUAUCAACUGUUUAAAAGAUGGUUCUGCUAUCACUCUUGGAUGGACCUGCGGUGCAUUAGCUAGUUGGUAGGGUAACGGCCUACCAAGGCGAUGAUGCAUAGCCGAGUUGAGAGACUGAUCGGCCACAUUGGGACUGAGACACGGCCCAAACUCCUACGGGAGGCAGCAGG
rnacentral:rRNA from 1 species